GUCUGUCCAAGCUGAGCAAGGAAGGCUGUACGAGUGAUGACACAGUUGCACGUGAGAAGUGGACGUUGAUCAGCAACAUCUGCGACAUGGUUCUAGAAGACUUGCAGAGUGAAAAGUUUAUCUGUGCAGUUUGCAAAAUUAAGCGGAAAUCCUGUAUGCUGUACCCUUGUGGCCAUUAUUCCCUGUGUGAGGACUGUGCUAAUCAGAUGCUGCUAGGGAGGAGGGAGUGUCCGAUAUGUAAACAGCAUGUCACGUCACACACUCGGGUGUACGAGUAAGGGAGUGUCCGAUAUGUAAACAGCAUGUCACGUCACACACUCGGGUGUACGAGUGAGGGAGUGUCCGAUAUGUAAACAGCAGGUCACAUCACACACUCGGGAGUACGAGUGAGGGAG